GUCCAUCCUCGAGUGAAUCCCAAAUAAUUUCGAUGAUUGGAUGAGCAGCAUGCUAUAUGGAGAAGAAGAAAGGCUGACUUACAGACUAUUUCUUUAUAUGUGUGGCUACUUGUUUUCUUUCUUGCUGUGAAAUUUUAAAAUCCUGCAGGAACUGGGAUGUGCUUAACCAUGUGCUGCCCAGAAGGGAUUACGGCAAUAAUGAAAGGAAAUUGCAACUCAGUCUGAAGAAUGCCCUGCCUGUGCUAGCAUGGCAAAUGAGGAGACUGAAGCAGAAAAAAUAUAAUCACAAGCAGAGUUGGGGGGUGUUUUCAAAUGGUUGCAAAUCCUCAGCUCAUGUGAUAAAAGAUGCUGACAUUAAUAUUCUGGUGUGCAAGCUCAUUCCUUCAGCCAGCUGUGAGGCAGAGGCUCUGCGACCGAGGUGAGACUACCGCAAU